UGGAUAGAGCGUCGGACUUCGGAUCCGAUGGUUGCGGGUUCGAGUCCUGCCGGG
rnacentral:tRNA from 1 species